rnacentral:misc_RNA from 1 species
CCACUCGCAGCUUUAACCCAAAAAAACCUGAAAUGGCUACCUAUUUCUAUUUAUUUUAAUCAUAAAAAAUCCAAAAAUAAUUGUAUGGAGCUUUUGGUAAAGGUUGUUGAGCAGAUUCCUUUGGAUGCCAAUUAUAUUUUGCCACAAUGUCCAUUUAUUAGCUGAAAGCGACUAUUUUGUUGGCUUUCGAGAUGAUUUGCAGUGCGACUGCUGAUUAGUGCAACUUGCAAAUAAGGUGAACAGAGUCCAGCACCGGCGGGGAGGGAGAAUAUGGGCCUGCUCACCCACAGAGUGGAGAGAAGUGAAAUCAAGCCAGGGGAUCACAUCUACACUUAUAGAGCUGUAUUCACUUACUCUCACCAUGGUAUCUUUGUUGGCGGAAACAAGGUGGUCCAUUUUACACCCAGGCAGAAUAUAAAUUCAAGCUCUGAUACAUCUUCUGAUAUCUAUGAUGUUCCAUCAUCCUGUGAUAUUCCUGACUGUGGAUUCAGGCAACCCAAUAGUGGGGUAGCCCUCUCCUGCCUGGACUGUUUCCUUGGAAAAGGAUCCCUUUACUGCUUUGAAUAUGGGGCAACCCCCUCUGUCUUUCUAGCAAAAGUACGGGGAGGUACAUGCACCACUGCUGCUUCCGAUCCACCAGAAACAGUUAUCCACCGAGCUAUGUAUCUUCUUCAAAAUGGAUUUGGUAAUUAUGAUGUUAUGGGGAACAACUGUGAGGAUUUUGCUCUGUACUGCAAAACAGGUCUUCUGGUAAUGGACAAGCAGGGAGUUGGAAGAAGUGGUCAAGCUUCUUCAGUCAUUGGUGCUCCAUUAGCUGCUCUCCUGUCGUCCCCUUUAAAGUUGCUAAUGCCAAGCCCUGUUGGUGUUGCCACAGUAACAGCUGGAAUGUACUGUAUGAGCAGAUAUGCUACUGAUAUAGGUGUUCGGAGUGAUGUAAUCAAGGUUGCUGUGGAAGAUCUGGCUGUGAACCUUGGUUGGGCAGAUCAUCAUGAGGAAGUCAAUGAGGAUAAUGAGGCCUCACACAGAUUGAUUACCGGGUGACAUUGAUUUCAUCUUUCUUCAUGUGAGGCUAUUCACUAUCAACUAAUAAGAAUUUGUCCAUGUUAACAAAAAUUCUGAAAUGGAAAUUCAUUGUUUUGUUUGUUUCAUUGCAAGUUAGAACAUGUUAGAUUAUGUCCUAAAAUGUUAAAUGAUAAUCCCCUAGUGUGAUCUGUUCUAGGUUGUUAUUGACUUCUGAAAUCCAGUCUGUUUCCUGGAGUGGUUUGCAAAGCUAAUGGAACACCAGAGGAUAUGGCUGAUGCUACUAUUACUUGAGUUAGACUAGAUUAGUCUGAUGGCUUGAGAGUUGAGACAUUUCAGUUAGAUUAGUAAGAGAAGCAUGAAAUCGGUUGAACUAAAGAUAAUAGUUUCUGCUCAACAAUUAAGCUAUCAUCUCAAGCAGAAAAUGUAAUGCCCUUCUUUUACUGGCUGCUUUUUUUGAUGGUGCAUUGGGAAUUAUUAGCGUCGCUAGUAGUGCCAAUUAUUAGCUUCGAAGCUUUUGCUUUUGUUACUUAAGGAAUUUACUAUUUUUCACUUUUUCACAUGGGCAUGUGGUCCUCUGUUGGUUGAAUUCUAACUAGCAUUUGAGUUGUAUCCACCUAAGCAACAUAUAUCACUCUUUUAACAGGAGACUAUAGCACCAUAUCACUCUUUUAACUUGUACCAUUCCUAGUUCAAAUCAAUAUAUAGAAAUC